GUCCCCAUUUGCUGGAAGAGGAAAUGAGACAUUACAAAGUUAAGUAACUUGUGCCAGUUCACCAUUCAACAAAUAUUUAUUUAUUUAUUUUAUUUUUAAUUAACACAUUGUAAUUGUAUGUAUUUAUGGCCUAAAAUUUGUCUGAGGAAAUCGAUUUUGGAGUAAUGGUCUAAUUAGGAUGUACUCUUCUUUGGGCCAGUGUCUCAAACCUUAAAAUUUUCAGAGUUUUUUUUAAUAUGCUGAUGUCAACUGUGACUCUUCAAGAGGAUGACACAAUAUGCAGUGGUUCCUAACUUACUAAUACUAGGCACAGAACUCUCCAGGCAUCUCAAGGAACUAAUACAGUAAGUCCUCACUUAACAUUGUCACUAGGCUCCUGGAAACUGCAACUUUAUGUGAAAUGAUGUAUAAGAAAACUAAUUUUACCAUAGGCUAAUUGAUAU
rnacentral:lncRNA from 1 species